AUUGAACGCUGGCGGCAGGCCUAACACAUGCAAGUCGAACGAGCGGCGGACGGGUGAGUAAUGUCUGGGGACUGCCCGAUAGCGGGGGAUAACUACUGGAAACGGUGGCUAAUACCGCAUACUAUCGGAUAACCCAUAUGGGAUUAGCUAGUAGGUGGGGUAAAGGCUCACCUAGGCGACGAUCCCUAGCUGGUCUGAGAGGAUGAUCAGCCACACUGGGACUGAGACACGGCCCAGACUCCUACGGAGGCAGCAGGGGGGAAUAUGGCACAAGGGGCGCAAGCCUGAUGCAGCCAUGCCGCGUGUAUGAAGAAGGCCUUCGGGUUGUAAAGUACUUGCAGUCGGGAGGCGUUACCGACAGAAGAAGCACCGGCUAACUCCGUGCCAGCAGCCGCGGUAAUUC
rnacentral:rRNA from 1 species